CAUUCACGGAGAGUUUGAUCCUGGCUCAGGACGAACGCUGGCGGCGUGCUUAACACAUGCAAGUCGAACGAUGAAGCCCUUCGGGGUGGAUUAGUGGCGAACGGGUGAGUAACACGUGGGCAAUCUGCCCUGCACUCUGGGACAAGCCCUGGAAACGGGGUCUAAUACCGGAUAUGACCGUCCAUCGCAUGGUGGGUGGUGUAAAGCUCCGGCGGUGCAGGAUGAGCCCGCGGCCUAUCAGCUAGUUGGUGAGGUAGUGGCUCACCAAGGCGACGACGGG
rnacentral:rRNA from 1 species